CCCCCAUUGCUUUUCUUAGACACAAAUAGAUUGAUCAAGUAAGCGAACAGAACCAAUUAAAUAACCACAUCUCAAUUACUUAUCUUAGACACCAAUAGGUCAAUUGAUCCAAACAGAUUAGCUUAAGCGAAUCAGGCUCAAACCAUCGAGUCAAAUUAGGUUCUUAGGUUAAUCGAUUCUACAUUUGGGACUCAAUCGAUUCGAUCAAUAACAAUUACAUG
rnacentral:lncRNA from 1 species